rnacentral:rRNA from 1 species
CCUACGGGUGGCAGCAGUGAGGAAUAUUGGUCAAUGGCCGGAAGGCUGAACCAGCCAAGCCGCGUGAAGGACGAAGGUGCUACGCAUUGUAAACUUCUUUUGUCAAGGGACAAAAUCAGGCUCGAGAGCCUGACCGAGGGUACUUGAAGAAAAAGCAUCGGCUAACUCCGUGCCAGCAGCCGCGGUAAUACGGAGGAUGCGAGCGUUAUCCGGAUUUAUUGGGUGUAAAGGGUGCGUAGGCGGGCUGUUAAGUCAGCGGUAAAAGCCCGGGGCUCAACCCCGGCACGCCGUUGAACCUGGCUUGCUUGAGUGGUCGAGAGGUAUGCGGAAUGCGCGGUGUAGCGGUGAAAUGCUUAGAUAUUGCGCAGAACUCCGAGUGCGAAGGCAGCAUACCGGCGGCGAUCUGACGCUGAGGCACGAAAGCGUGGGUAUCGAACAGGAUUAGAUACCCGAGUAGUC